AGUUGUGAGGUCAGACAGCAGGGCUGUGGCUGAGCCACGGCAGCACCCUUAGUCCUGCCCGGUGACGUGGGCAUUGCCUGCAGACAGGGCAGGGGUCAAAACCAGGCAGUGUGCUGCUUCUUUCCCCUCAGCCACUCCAUUUGAGGGAUGACUACUUCACCAGCUUGAGGUCAGGGAGGCAACAGUGGAUUUUGACAGCCCCAAAUGAGAGCCCAUGGAGAUGAGUCAAUGCAACCAUCAGAGCCUAGAAAGAGAUCCAGCCCUAAGGCACACAUCCACCUUGGUCAGCUGUCUGGAUGCCAGCAAGCAUUCAAAUUAUGACAAUAUGAGAGUUUUUCAAGCAUUGAGACCCUGAUUCAGCAGAGAGUUUUGAUGGGGUUUGUACUUGGCUAAGCUUCUCUCACAGAGCAGAGCAUAUGUCAUGAGCAUCCUCCCAGCCCAGCACUAUGUACCCACACCUCUACCUUCCCUCUGCACGUCAAGACUCACACUGGAACAUUCAAAGCCACUUUCUUGGACUUGGUGGACGCAUGGUUGCAGCAUUUGCAGAUCACCAUCCCCGAUGGAUGCGGUUGGAUGGAAUAUGGCUGGGCUCCAUGCUUGUCUGCAAUUUGGGCUGAAGGCAAGUUUGAGCUGACACAUUUAGUAUGCCAGAUUUAUUAACUAUAGAUUAUUUGCUUAGGAUUCAUCAUUAUAGCAUGGAUCUACAGCCUCAUUUCUGCAUCACCAACAUAAGAAAAGAUCUGCUCCCAUGAAUCUGGCCUGCAGGAAGGAUGCUUGGAGCCAGGCUCAAGUUGCCUUCUAGACAUACCUCUUCUACUCUUUCUUACAGUGAAGCCCAUCAGUUGGAUUUCAGCAUGAGAUUAAAGCUAAACCAGGUCAGAAACUGUGAACUCACAGCUAAAAUAGAUUGAAGUCUGAUUUCAGAGGGACAGACCUCAAGACUGACAGGUUGAAGGAGUGAGUAAAAUAAGGAUAGAGCAAACAAAAGAGUGCAGUCUGCU